rnacentral:lncRNA from 1 species
CUCAUAUUCCUUUUCAAAACAAAUCAUACCUACCAUAUGUGUCUCAUUAUGCACAGGUGAUGGACUUUGGCUAGUGUCUACUGCAUCUGGACUUUGCACGACAAUGUCGCCUGCAUCAAUAAGCUUCUGAAUCGCAAUCUUCAGCUUCCAACACUUCUCUAUGUCAUGCCCCGGGGCAUCUGAGCAAUAUGCGCACCUUUGAGAAAAAUCAAACUUCUUUGGAAGAGGGUUUGACAUUUCUAUCUGGGUCGGCUUCAACAUGUCCAAUUUCCUUAGCCUCUGGAACAGACUGACAUAUGACUCUCCCAAUGGAGUGAAGGUUUUCUUCUUCCGUAACCUCUCAUUCUUAAAUGCUUGAUUGGGCCAAAAACCUGAAUCAGGGGGUUUUCGGUAGGCUCGUGGGGGUAGAUAGGCAUUUUGUGGAGCUGGGUACUAGGAAAGUGAUGUACGACUUUGGGAGUUCUGUGGAGAGAAGUGGCAUUAGGGAGGAUCAUCUGGUGCCACAAGGAUAUCCAUGGGGAUGAUGUCGAGGCUGGAAGUGUUGAUCGGGAAAGCCCAUCGGAUCAUCUUUUCUGUUUCUCUUUCUUCCACCCAAGCUUAUUGGGAUGUUCUGAAUGUCUUUCGAACAACUCAUGAUUUUGCCUGACUUGAUUCCCUCGUCUACUAGCUCCCCCAUUUUUAACACAUCAUUGAAAGGCCUUCCCAAGGCCGGGAUCAAAUGACUGAAGUAGGUGGGCCCCUGGGCUUUUAGGAAAAGCUCAAUCAUUUCUUCUUCACCAAUCGUAUUGACUCGAGCAACCUGCUCCCUCCAUCUGAGCCCAAACUCUCUAAAGCUUUCCUCCGGCUUCUUUUCCAUUUUAUAUAGGGAGGAGCGGUUUGGGGUAACACCUGAUUUGUAUUGAAAGUAUCGAACAAAAUCUUGAGCCAUGUCACCCAAUGUAGGCCACUUGCCAACAUCUUGACGAGCAUGCCAGUCCAAAGCUGCCCCAGUCAGGCUCUCACUGAAAUACGCCAUCAUCAAGUCAUCUUUCUCUCCAACACCUCUCAUUUCACUGCAAUAAACCUUCACGUGGGCUAUCAGAUCUCCACACCCAUCAUACAAGUUAAAUUUUGGCACUUUAAACCCCGCGGGCAGGCGAACGUCAGGGGACAUAGACAGUUCUUUGUAAGUUAUGCUACCCUGGUCUCCCAUUCCUUGCUUAUUCUUUAAGGACUGUUCUAUGCCUUUCAGCCUCUUGGGUAUCCCAUCUUUUCCUUCUCUUCUUGUGAACCUUUCAUUUUUAACAUGAGGCUCAUCCCGCGGGCCCUGUUUGUAUGAGUAGGGAACCUUGUGGGCAACCUCUGAGGGGUAAUAUUGGGCAUCAUGAGCUUGGAGAUAAGCGGGUGGAUCUGGAGAGUAUGGAGGAUCAUCUGGCAUUGUGUCCGGAGCUUGGGUAAGGGCGGCAUCUAGGAAGUUAGGUGGUGGCGUGAGUGGUGCCUUCCCAAUCAUCCAAGCCUGAUACAUGUCCGCCAUGUGUUGUCUCAACGUCUUUACCUCUUCAACC